rnacentral:lncRNA from 1 species
CAAGAAAGUGUAUUGCUCGGGCGAAAACCAGCUUUUUCUGCUUGCUGUACCGGUACAGCCAUUAGCUUGUACCGGUACACAAUGCAGAAACGUGGCAGCUUGGGUAUUUCGGUAAUUUCACACUUGAUCUCUAUCUUUAAGACCCCAGCUCGACCAGGGAUACUCAGUGGAGCCUGCUGGAGUCCAGAGGAGUGUUCUCCCAUCUUUCUCUCUCUCU